UCUCAUCUAUAUAUAAGCGUGGUUUGCUGCACACGAAUCAUUUCAGCGUGAAAAAUGCGCAAGUUUAAACUGUUGGUGGCAGCCCUCGCCCUCCUUGUAGUUGUUCACUCAGUAUCUGCAGACUGGGAUGACUGGUACCGUGAAAGAAUCCGUUGGAGACAUUGUCCACCUCAUCUCCGAUUGUCAUAUGCUCCAUAUUGCUAUCGCAACUGGCGCUACUUUGAUAAUUCGUGGUUCGGACGAGGACGAGACAGAUCGUGGUGGGACUGGAACAGAAGAGAUGGAGGCAGGGGUCGCAACUAAACAUUAAUCACACGCUAUUCAUUGUUAUAUCUAGCUCAAUAAAGUAAAAUUUGUCAUUUAAACGGAUUAUUUAAUACAAAUUAUGAAAACUGUUGAUUGAGUCAGUGCAAAAAAGUGAUGAAAUGAAUAUUAGCUAACGAAGCCCGCACAUUAGACUGCAGCAUUGGGUUACCGCAGGCUCGCAGAGUGCAAUUAUGUCACUUCUGGAAGUGGGUGGUUCCACCUUUCGUGCAUGGAGGUGGGUACCUUUAAAAGUCUGGCACUAUCGUGAGACCAGUUCAGAAGCAUGGAGAAGAGCGGCUUGCUCUUACUGUUGAUUGUCGCCCUAUCCGUUGUCUCAGUCAACGCAGAUGGCAGUGGAUGGUACAUAUCUGAUCCAAACCACUAUAAGAGAUGGAGGAAGUGGCCAAAACGAUUCGAUGGAUGGUACGCUUGGAGAUGGAACCACGACGCUAUUGUCGAUUUUGACACGGUUCCACCACUUCCCAGGAAUAAACACAUUAAUGUCUAUGUUUAGCUUGAUCUACUCAAUUUUUGUACACUUUUAUUAUUUAAAUAAAUGCAAGCGUUUGU